rnacentral:rRNA from 1 species
CGGCCCACCAAGCCGACGAUCGGUAGCCGACCUGAGAGGGUGAUCGGCCACAUUGGGACUGAGACACGGCCCAAACUCCUACGGGAGGCAGCAGUGGGAAUAUUGGGCAAUGGAGGAAACUCUGACCCAGCAACGCCGCGUGGAGGAAGAAGGUUUUCGGAUCGUAAACUCCUGUCCUUGGAGACGAGUAGAAGACGGUAUCCAAGGAGGAAGCCCCGGCUAACUACGUGCCAGCAGCCGCGGUAAUACGUAGGGGGCAAGCGUUGUCCGGAAUAAUUGGGCGUAAAGGGCGCGUAGGCGGCUCGGUAAGUCUGGAGUGAAAGUCCUGCUUUUAAGGUGGGAAUUGCUUUGGAUACUGUCGGGCUUGAGUGCAGGAGAGGUUAGUGGAAUUCCCAGUGCAGCGGUGAAAUGCGUAGAGAUUGGGAGGAACACCAGUGGCGAAGGCGACUAACUGGACUGUAACUGACGCUGAGGCGCGAAAGUGUGGGGAGCAAACAGGAUUAGAUACCCUGGUAGUCCACACUGUAAACGAUGAAUGCUAGGUGUAGGGGGUAUCGACCCCUUCUGUGCCGCAGUCAACACAAUAAGCAUUCCGCCUGGGGAGUACGGCCGCAAGGUUGAAACUCAAAGGAAUUGACGGGGGCCCGCACAAGCAGCGGAGCAUGUGGUUUAAUUCGACGCAACGCGAAGAACCUUACCAGGUCUUGACAUCCACUUAAACUUACAGAGAUGUAAGGUGUGCUUGCACAAAGUGAGACAGGUGGUGCAUGGUUGUCGUCAGCUCGUGUCGUGAGAUGUUGGGUUAAGUCCCGCAACGAGCGCAACCCUUAUCUUCAGUUACUAACGCGUGAGGGUGAGGACCCUGAAGAGACUGCCGGGGACAACUCGGAGGAAGGUGGGGACGACGUCAAAUCAUCAUGCCCCUUAUGACCUGGGCUACACACGUGCUACAAUGGCCACGACAGAGAGAAGCGAAAUCGCAAGGUAGAGCGGAACUCAAAAAAGUGGUCCCAGUUCGGAUUGUGGGCUGCAACCCGCCCACAUGAAGUCGGAGUUGCUAGUAAUCGCGGAUCAGCAUGCCGCGGUGAAUACGUUCCCGGGCCUUGUACACACCGCCCGUCACACCAUGGGAGUUGGGAGUGCCCAAAGCCGGUGAGGCAACCGCAAGGAGCCAGCCGUCUAAGGCAAGACCAAUGACUGGGGUGAAGUCGGAACAAGGUAGCCGUAUCGGAAGGUGCGGCUG